AACGGCCGUACCAUGCUGAAUAUACCGGUUCUCGUUAGAUCACCGAAGUGAAGCAUCAUUGGGCGCGGUCAGUACUUGUGACCAUCUGGGAACACCGCGUGCCGUU